CAACUACUCCCUCUGUCCCAAAUUUCUUGUCUUAGAUUUGUCUAGAUACGGAUGUAUCUAAUACUAAAAUGUUAUUUGAUACAUCCAUAUCUAGACAAAUCUAAGACAAGAAUUUUGGGACGGAGGGUGUACUUU
rnacentral:pre_miRNA from 1 species